AAAAAGAACCCCUCAUUCCCUAUGAUUCCAGCCCUAAGGUCUGGACCCACUGGGACCUGACUGGCACGUACCCAGUGCUGAGCCAAUCACUGUGGCCAGGGAGGAUGGCCAGAUUGAGGUCGUGUGACCACCCUCCCUAAGGAAAAACUCCUGAGCCGUUCAACCUGAUUUCCAGGGUGGGAGUGAACCUGAGAGAACAGAGGUUAGUGUCCAGUUGCUGCCCUCCUCUGUGCUUAAUAUCCUGGGUUGCACCUGCUCUUAUCCUCUUCCCGCCACCCCACUGUCUUCGUGGCAGCACUUCUUCCCUUCCCCCACUGCUUUCUUCGGUACCAUUUCACCCAUACCAAAAAGGAACACGACUUCCUGUUUGAAUUCAGGAUCCGGGGCCCAUGCCCAGCUUCAAGAUUUGUUUUUUUGCGUCCCGGUAUAAUCGUUUAUUCAGUCAACCAGUGUCCACUGAGUACCUACUAUGUGCUCCCGUGAGUUUUCAGGGUCUAAUUAUUCUGGGUUUCUGGGGACAAAUCCCAGGAGCCUUCCAAGGAAAUGAGUUCUGUCUGAGCAAGCAUCUAGAGGCUAGCUUCCAGUCCUUCGGUGCCACCCACUGUGUGGCCCCGAGGGAAGUCUUUCCCCUCUCUGGACUUGUGCUUUCUUAUCUGCAAAAUGAGGCACUGGGAAAGUUGAAAUCCUGGAGCCCUCUCAGCUCUGACAUCCUGUGUGGCUGGGUCUUAGAACAAGCCUCUCCAGCUGAGUCAGCCUGUAAGCACCAUGGACAGUGACCACAACACUCCCUCUGCUGCCACAGGGAGCAUCUUGUUUGCUGUCCCCGUGGGUGCCCUGAACUGAGUCCACAACCAUACAGUUCUGUGUCUGAACCUUCCACUUCUUGGCUAAUGAGAACACCCAGGGCAGAGGAGACCCCGCAAUUUCUGUGCCUGUGUGGACCCCAAGGCUCUAAAUUCCUGUAAGGUGGCCUAAUGCUGCUGCUACAGAAAUUCUCUUUUGAGGUGUUUGUGAAUCCCAAGCCCUCCCACCACUGAAAGUCAAGUCUGGAACUCUGAAAAGAAAGCAUAGGGAGGGAGGCCACAUGGAGGAGAGGAGAGGAUUCUAUAGAGGUUGCUAUAUGUCCAUGGAGUCCAUCCUUCCUCUGCCUCCCUGUCCCUCCCUUCUUCUUCUCUCACCCACUCCCCUUUCUCUGUUAUAGCCGAAAUUGGUCAUAGCCCCGUGGGAGAAGAAAGAUGCCUGAUGUGUCAGUAGGGAGGAAAGACGUCAAAAUCAUAAGCACGGUGUGGAACUGGAUUACCACUCCCCCACAUUCAGUGGCCUGUAUCGAAGUGCCCUGCUCGGUUGGAGGAUUAUACAGCAUGGCCCAUGUUGUACUCAGGCAUGGCAGAGGGGCUGGUGAACAGUGAAAACAGAUGUGAGCACACGCGUUAAGAACCAGUGAGUAAUUUACCACUUUUCUUUUCCUUUUUCCACGACAAUGGCAAUAUUCCAGAUAAAGACAGACUGCUCUGUCAACCUGAGUCCAGAGGGGAGAGGAGACGAAGGAGACCCACAUGUGCAUGUAGUCUGAGACAUAAAGAAACUUUAUUGUAGGCCACUGAGA